AGUGUGCAUCUGUGCGUGGUGGCGUGAGGAUCUUUAUCGCGCUCUCUUGGUGCUAACUUUUUUAUAUAAAUUUCUGUGUGCUAGUGAAAGUGAAGAUACUGUGAUAAAAGAGGGGAAAAAAGAAAAAAAAAGAUACAUAUCAGGAUUUUUUUUCCAUUUUUUAUUUUUAUUGGUUCCCAUCAUCUGUCGGAAGUGUGCAAUUCGAAAAAAAAAAAAAUAAAAAAAAAAACGAAACUACUGUAACUGUAAAAAUAAGUAAUAUAUUCGAAGAACGUUGAGGAUACAGCUGUAGUCGUUGUAUCUCGCUCUUCAACCCUUUUUCUCCUUCUCUUCUGCUUGAAGUGAUUCUACCAGCGACCUUCAGAAAACAGGUAAACAUUCCUUUGCGAGGGAGAGUUCAUGCAAGGAAACGUGUGAGAAAGGUAACUCAUAACUCAUCUCUGUACAUUGUACUGUAAAGGUAUUUAAGAAGAAAAGUGAGGAAAAUAUAGUUAAAAUAUAAAGAGUGGUUAUGUGAGAGCGUGUCAGUUAGGGAGAGAGGGAGAGAGAAUGGGGGGAUAAGGGAACAAGUGAGUGAG